ANUNGUUGCNUCAGANGCCGNAAUGUUGCNCAUAGNCNCAUUGACGCCANUUUCUGGGUUCUAUAUNCAGNCUUUCCGCAAAUAGGNNAUUCAUAGAUGGCUUGUACGUCNGCUCGUGACACCGGCUAACUCCGUGCCAGCAGCCGCGGUAAUACGGAGGGUGCGAGCGUUAAUCGGAAUUACUGGGCGUAAAGCGCAUGCAGGUGGUUUGUUAAGUCAGAUGUGAAAGCCCGGGGCUCAACCUCGGAAUAGCAUUUGAAACUGGCAGACUAGAGUACUGUAGAGGGGGGUAGAAUUUCAGGUGUAGCGGUGAAAUGCGUAGAGAUCUGAAGGAAUACCGGUGGCGAAGGCGGCCCCUGGACAGAUACUUGACACUCAGAUGCGAAAGCGUGGGGAGCAAACAGGAUUAGAUACCCUGGUAGUCCACGCCGUAAACGAUGUCUACUUGGAGGUUGUGGCCUUGAGCCGUGGCUUUCGGAGCUAACGCGUUAAGUAGACCGCCUGGGGAGUACGGUCGCAAGAUUAAAACUCACUCCUACGGGAGGCAGCNAGUGCGAGGGUAUAGCUNAGCUAGNAUAGGUNGCGUAAGANUNCUGAACANNUNGCCACUAUAGNNCCNUNGNNGCCACUUUCNUGGGUU
rnacentral:rRNA from 1 species